UACGUAGGGGGCAAGCGUUGUCCGGAUUUAUUGGGCGUAAAGAGCGUGUAGGCGGCCAGGUAGGUCAGCUGUGAAAACUCGAGGCUCAACCUCGAGACGUCGGUUGAAACCACCUGGCUAGAGUCCGGAAGAGGAGAGUGGAAUUCCUGGUGUAGCGGUGAAAUGCGUAGAGAUCGGGAGGAACACCAGAGGCGAAGGCGGCUCACUGGACAGUCACUGACACUCAACUGCGAAAGCGUGGGGAGCAAACAGG
rnacentral:rRNA from 1 species